AUUGAACGCUGGCGGCAUGCCUUACACAUACAAGUCGAACGGUAACAGGUCUUCGGAUGCUGACGAGUGGCGAGCGGGUGAGUAAUGCAUCGGAACGUGCCCAGUAGUGGGGGAUAGCCCGGCGAAAGCCGGAUUAAUACCGCAUACGACCUGAGGGUGAAAGGGGGGGAUCGCAAGACCUCUCGCUAUUGGAGCGGCCGAUGUCAGAUUAGCUAGUUGGUGGGGUAAAGGCCUACCAAGGCAACGAUCUGUAGUUGGUCUGAGAGGACGACCAGCCACACUGGGACUGAGACACGGCCCAGACUCCUACGGGAGGCAGCAGUGGGGAAUUUUGGACAAUGGGCGCAAGCCUGAUCCAGCAAUGCCGCGUGCAGGAAGAAGGCCUUCGGGUUGUAAACUGCUUUUGUCAGGGAAGAAAUCUUCUGGGUUAAUACCUCGGGAGGAUGACGGUACCUGAAGAAUAAGCACCGGCUAACUACGUGCCAGCCGCCGCCGUAAUAC
rnacentral:rRNA from 1 species